rnacentral:rRNA from 1 species
AAAGGUAAGCUACUAAGAGCGAAUGGUGGAUGCCUUGACUGGUAAAGGCGAUGAAGGACGUACUAGACUGCGAUAAGCUACGGGGAGCUGUCAAGAAGCUUUGAUCCGUAGAUUUCCGAAUGGGGCAACCCAAUGUAUAGAGAUAUACAUUACCUAUAUAGGAGCGAACGAGGGGAAUUGAAACAUCUUAGUACCCUCAGGAAAAGAAAUCAAUAGAGAUUGCGUCAGUAGCGGCGAGCGAAAGCGCAAGAGGGCAAACCCAGUGCUUGCACUGGGGGUUGUAGGACUGCAAUGUGCAAGAGCUGAGUUUAGCAGAACAUUCUGGAAAGUAUAGCCAUAGAGGGUGAUAGUCCCGUAUGCGAAAAACAAAGCUUAGCUAGCAGUAUCCUGAGUAGGGCGGGACACGAGAAAUCCUGUCUGAAUCCGGGUCGACCACGAUCCAACCCUAAAUACUAAUACCAGAUCGAUAGUGCACAAGUACCGUGAGGGAAAGGUGAAAAGAACUGAGGUGAUCAGAGUGAAAUAGAACCUGAAACCAUUUGCUUACAAUCAUUCAGAGCCCUAUGUAGCAAUACAGGGUGAUGGACUGCCUUUUGCAUAAUGAGCCUGCGAGUUGUGGUGUCUGGCAAGGUUAAGCAAACGCGAAGCCGUAGCGAAAGCGAGUCUGAAUAGGGCGCUUAGUCAGAUGCUGCAGACCCGAAACGAAGUGAUCUAUCCAUGAGCAAGUUGAAGCUAGUGUAAGAACUAGUGGAGGACUGAACCCAUAGGCGUUGAAAAGCCCCGGGAUGACUUGUGGAUAGGGGUGAAAGGCCAAUCAAACUUCGUGAUAGCUGGUUCUCUCCGAAAUAUAUUUAGGUAUAGCGUUGUGUCGUAAUAUAAGGGGGUAGAGCACUGAAUGGGCUAGGGCAUACACCAAUGUACCAAACCCUAUCAAACUC